GACGAACGCUGGCGGCGUGCUUAACACAUGCAAGUCGAACGGAAAGGCCCUGCUUGCCGGGUACUCGAGUGGCGAACGGGUGAGUAACACGUGGGUGAUCUGCCCUGCACUUCGGGAUAAGCCUGGGAAACUGGGUCUAAUACCGGAUAGGAGCCAUUUUUAGUGUGAUGGUUGAAAAGUUUUUUCGGUGUAGGAUGAGCUCGCGGCCUAUCAGCUUGUUGGUGGGGUAAUGGCCUACCAAGGCGGCGACGGGUAGCCGGCCUGAGAGGGUGGACGGCCACAUUGGGACUGAGAUACGGCCCAGACUCCUACGGGAGGCAGCAGUGGGGAAUAUUGCACAAUGGGCGCAAGCCUGAUGCAGCGACGCCGCGUGGGGGAUGACGGCCUUCGGGUUGUAAACUCCUUUCGCUAGGGACGAAGCUUUUUGUGACGGUACCUAGAUAAGAAGCACCGGCUAACUACGUG
rnacentral:rRNA from 1 species